UGGACUGUGGCUCAGUGAUAGAGCCCUUACCUGGCAUGUGUGAGGCCCUGGGUUUGAUUCUCAGCACUGCAU
rnacentral:tRNA from 1 species